GGAGUGUGCCCAGAGCAGGGGCCUGAAGAAAUGGCUCCUCUGUUUACAACACACCCAACAGCAAAUCUGGGUUCAUAUGACAAGAGGCCCCUGCACCUCCACAU
rnacentral:snoRNA from 1 species